GGACGGUUAGCUCAGUUGGUAGAGCAUCGCUUUUACACAGCGGAGGUCGCAGGUUCGAGCCCUGCACCGUCCA
rnacentral:tRNA from 5 species